CAGCCGCCGCGGUAAUACGUAGGGUGCGAGCGUUAAUCGGAAUUACUGGGCGUAAAGCGUGCGCAGGCGGUUGUGUAAGACAGGUGUGAAAUCCCCGGGCUUAACCUGGGAACUGCGCUUGUGACUGCACAGCUAGAGUAUGGCAGAGGGGGGUGGAAUUCCACGUGUAGCAGUGAAAUGCGUAGAGAUGUGGAGGAACACCGAUGGCGAAGGCAGCCCCCUGGGCCAAUACUGACGCUCAUGCACGAGAGCGUGGGGAGCAAACAGGAUUAGAUACCCCUGUAGUCCCUGUCUCUUAUAC
rnacentral:rRNA from 1 species